GGAGCUGGGCGCUGAGGAGCCGGCGACUGCUGCAGCUGCUCGCACCAUGUCCGCGCGCAACCGGGGCUCGGAGCUGGACCUUAGCUGGAUCUCCAAAAUACAAGUGAAUCAACCCGCAGUUCUGAGGCGUGCAGAACAAAUCCAGGCUCGCAGAACCGUGAAAAAGGAGUGGCAAGCUGCUUGGCUCCUGAAAGCCGUUACCUUUAUAGAUCUUACUACACUUUCAGGCGAUGACACAUCUUCCAACAUUCAAAGGCUCUGUUAUAAAGCCAAGUAUCCAAUCCGGGAAGAUCUCUUAAAAAGUUUAAAUAUGCAUGGUAAAGGCCUUACGACGGCUGCUGUUUGUGUCUACCCCGCGCGGGUGUGUGAUGCAGUUAAAGCACUGAAGGCCUUGGGCUGUACCAUCCCAGUGGCUUCCGUGGCCACUGGCUCCCCAUCUGGACAGACUCAUUUAAAAACACGAUUGGAAGAGAUCAGAUUGGCUGUGGAAGAUGGAGCUAUGGAAAUCGAUGUGGUGAUUAACAGGACCUUGGUGCUGACCGGUCAGUGGGAAGCCCUGUAUGAUGAGAUUCGUCAGUUUCGCAAGGCCUGUGGGGAGGCUCAUCUCAAAACCAUCUUAGCAACAGGAGAACUUGGAUCUCUUACUAAUGUCUAUAAAGCCAGUAUGAUAGCAAUGAUGGCAGGAUCAGAUUUUAUUAAGGACCUCUACUGGAAAAGAAACAGUAAAUGCCACUUUCCCGGUAGCUAUAGUAAUGCUACGGGCCAUUAGAGAUUUCUUCUGGAAAACUGGAAACAAGGUAGGCUUUAAACCAGCAGGAGGCAUCCGCAGUGCCAAGGAUUCCCUUGCUUGGCUCUCUCUUGUGAAGGAAGAGCUGGGAGAUGAAUGGCUGACGCCAGAACUGUUUCGAAUAGGUGCCAGUACUCUCCUUUCGGACAUCGAGAGGCAGAUUUACCAUCACGUUACCGGAAGAUAUGCAGCCUAUCAUGAUCUUCCGAUGUCUUAAAUCAGCGACCAGUUCCAGAAAAGUGCUUUAUAGCAACAUGUAAAAUGUGUUUUUCUACGUAAUUGCUAAAAUUGUUUAAUUAAAACAUGAGGGAAUGAAUGGAUAACUGACUUUAUUUUUCCCCCUUAAAACUUUCACUGAAUUUAAUUCAAAGAAUAAAAGAAAAAAACAACUAAUCCA